rnacentral:rRNA from 1 species
AAAUUGAAGAGUUUGAUCAUGGCUCAGAUUGAACGCUGGCGGCAGGCCUAACACAUGCAAGUCGAACGGUAACAGGAAACAGCUUGCUGUUUCGCUGACGAGUGGCGGACGGGUGAGUAAUGUCUGGGAAACUGCCUGAUGGAGGGGGAUAACUACUGGAAACGGUAGCUAAUACCGCAUAACGUCGCAAGACCAAAGAGGGGGACCUUCGGGCCUCUUGCCAUCGGAUGUGCCCAGAUGGGAUUAGCUUGUUGGUGGGGUAACGGCUCACCAAGGCGACGAUCCCUAGCUGGUCUGAGAGGAUGACCAGCCACACUGGAACUGAGACACGGUCCAGACUCCUACGGGAGGCAGCAGUGGGGAAUAUUGCACAAUGGGCGCAAGCCUGAUGCAGCCAUGCCGCGUGUAUGAAGAAGGCCUUCGGGUUGUAAAGUACUUUCAGCGGGGAGGAAGGGAGUAAAGUUAAUACCUUUGCUCAUUGACGUUACCCGCAGAAGAAGCACCGGCUAACUCCGUGCCAGCAGCCGCGGUAAUACGGAGGGUGCAAGCGUUAAUCGGAAUUACUGGGCGUAAAGCGCACGCAGGCGGUUUGUUAAGUCAGAUGUGAAAUCCCCGGGCUCAACCUGGGAACUGCAUCUGAUACUGGCAAGCUUGAGUCUCGUAGAGGGGGGUAGAAUUCCAGGUGUAGCGGUGAAAUGCGUAGAGAUCUGGAGGAAUACCGGUGGCGAAGGCGGCCCCCUGGACGAAGACUGACGCUCAGGUGCGAAAGCGUGGGGAGCAAACAGGAUUAGAUACCCUGGUAGUCCACGCCGUAAACGAUGUCGACUUGGAGGUUGUGCCCUUGAGGCGUGGCUUCCGGAGCUAACGCGUUAAGUCGACCGCCUGGGGAGUACGGCCGCAAGGUUAAAACUCAAAUGAAUUGACGGGGGCCCGCACAAGCGGUGGAGCAUGUGGUUUAAUUCGAUGCAACGCGAAGAACCUUACCUGGUCUUGACAUCCACAGAACUUUCCAGAGAUGAGAUUGUGCCUUCGGGAACUGUGAGACAGGUGCUGCAUGGCUGUCGUCAGCUCGUGUUGUGAAAUGUUGGGUUAAGUCCCGCAACGAGCGCAACCCUUAUCCUUUGUUGCCAGCGGUCCGGCCGGGAACUCAAAGGAGACUGCCAGUGAUAAACUGGAGGAAGGUGGGGAUGACGUCAAGUCAUCAUGGCCCUUACGACCAGGGCUACACACGUGCUACAAUGGCGCAUACAAAGAGAAGCGACCUCGCGAGAGCAAGCGGACCUCAUAAAGUGCGUCGUAGUCCGGAUUGGAGUCUGCAACUCGACUCCAUGAAGUCGGAAUCGCUAGUAAUCGUGGAUCAGAAUGCCACGGUGAAUACGUUCCCGGGCCUUGUACACACCGCCCGUCACACCAUGGGAGUGGGUUGCAAAAGAAGUAGGUAGCUUAACCUUCGGGAGGGCGCUUACCACUUUGUGAUUCAUGACUGGGGUGAAGUCGUAACAAGGUAACCGUAGGGGAACCUGCGGUUGGAUCACCUCCUUACCUUAAAGAAGC